rnacentral:rRNA from 1 species
CACCCCCCCCAUUUUUUGGGGGGAAAACCCGUCGACUUGGGGAGUUAGCGGCGGACGGGUGAUUUUACGCGUGGGGGAUAAGCCCUGUAAAAGCGGAUGACAUACCGAAAGGGAUGCUAGUACGGGGUAAUGUACUUUGGUCGCAUGGCAAAAGUGUCAAAGCUCCGGUGGGACAGGAUGGGCCCGCGUCUGAGUAGCUAGUUGGAGAGGUGAUGGCUCACGAUGGUUUUUAUCAGUAGCUUUUCUGACAGGGUGAUCGGCCGCGUUGGAACUGAGACACCCUUUUUACUCCUACGGGAGGCAGCAGCUGGGGAAUAUUGCACAAUGGGCGAAAGCCUGAUGCAGCAACCGCCGCGUGAGCGAUGAAGGCUUUCGGGUCGUAAAGCUCUGUCCUCAAGGAAGAUAAUGACGGUACUUGACGAGGAAGCCCCGGCUAACUACUUGCCAGCAGCCGCGGUAAUACCUAUCGGGGCUAGCGUUAUUCCGGAAUUACUGGGCCGUAAAAGGGUGCGUACGCUGGUUUCCUUACGUCAAAAGGGUAAAAGGCUACCGGUUCACACCGUAAUAAGCCUUUUGAAACUGACAAA